AGAGUUUGAUCAUGGCUCAGAAUCAACGCUGGCGGCGCGCCUAACACAUGCAAGUCGAACGAGAAAGUGGAGCAAUCCAUGAGUACAGUGGCGUACGGGUGAGUAACACGUGGGUAAUCUGCCUCUUUGUGUGGAAUAACCCUGGGAAACCGGGGCUAAUACCGCAUAAGCUCGAGAGAGGAAAGCAGCAAUGCGCUGAGAGAGGAGCCCGCGGCCGAUUAGCUAGUUGGUAGGGUAAAAGCCUACCAAGGCAAAGAUCGGUAGCCGGCCUGAGAGGGCACACGGCCACACUGGCACUGAAACACGGGCCAGACUCCUACGGGAGGCAGCAGUGGGGAAUCUUGCACAAUGGGGGAAACCCUGAUGCAGCGACGCCGCGUGAGCGAUGAAGCCCCUCGGGGUGUAAAGCUCUUUCGGCAGGGAAGAUGAUGACGGUACCUGCAGAAGCAGCUGCGGCUAACUACGUGCCAGCAGCCGCGGUAAUACGUAGGCAGCAAGCGUUGUUCGGAGUUACUGGGCGUAAAGGGUGUGUAGGCGGUUCUCUAAGUUUGGUGUGAAAUCUCCCGGCUCAACUGGGAGGGUGCGCCGAAUACUGAAGGACUCGAGUGCGGGAGAGGAGAGUGGAAUUCCUGGUGUAGCGGUGAAAUGCGUAGAUAUCAGGAGGAACACCGGUGGUGUAGACGGCUCUCUGGACCGUAACUGACGCUGAGACACGAAAGCGUGGGUAGCAAACAGGAUUAGAUACCCUAGUAGUCC
rnacentral:rRNA from 1 species